AUCUGUAAGAGAUCAGAAGAGACCUUCUUGGGCUGUACGGACUCAAGAAACAAACAUUUAAAACUUUCAGAAACUUAUUCUGAGUCUCCAUGCCUGCAAUCUGUUUUUAUUGUCAUGGAAGCCAAAGUUGCAUUAAUGCAACCACCCCAUGAUCAUUCCACCCCUCAGCAAACAUUUACAGAUUUCUGAGAUGUUCAUUGACUGGCUUUGCAUAACCACUUAUGGAGCAAAGGCUCACUUUCAGAGAAGAUUAUAGGUGCAACCCUGCUGUUCUGCUUCUUCCUUUGCCUUUCUCUCCAACUACUAAUGAGAGCAGCCAAGGCUUCAGGGCUCCCUCCUGCAUGCUCGUUGCCUAAAGCUCCAUUAAAAUGAAAAGAGGAAAUUAAGGACAGACAUUGAUGCUGCAUGGCCCAAUCCCAUCAACAUGUCCUUGGAUGUUUACCUCUUUUGGCAUAUUCUUGUUCAUAAAAGGAAACUGAGAUAAACAGAUUCUGUCUGUCAACUCAAUGUUAAUGGCCCAUUUUAUUUGCUUUCCUUGUGAGUGGGAGCAGAGAGAGCAUUAAUAUGAAGACAAAACCCUGAAAUGAAAACAUUUUCAUGUUCUCAUAUAGGUAUAUAAUAUGGAAGUACUAAAUACUUAUUUAUUAUAGGUAUAUAGCAAUACCAG
rnacentral:lncRNA from 1 species